CAUUAGAGCCAUACCACCCCGAACACACCUGACCUCCUUUGAUCUGGGAAGCUAAGCAGGCCUGGGCCUGGUUAGUGCUUGAAUGG
rnacentral:rRNA from 1 species